rnacentral:rRNA from 1 species
AUACGGAGGGUGCGAGCGUUAAUCGGAAUUACUGGGCGUAAAGCGUACGUAGGCGGUUUGUUAAGUUAGAUGUGAAAGCCCUGGGCUUAACCUGGGAACUGCAUUUAAAACUGGCAGACUAGAGUUUGAUAGAGGAGAGUGGAAUUUCAGGUGUAGCGGUGAAAUGCGUAGAGAUCUGAAGGAACAUCAGUGGCGAAGGCGUCUCUCUGGAUUAAAACUGACGCUGAGGUACGAAAGCGUGGGUAGCAAACAGGAUUAGAAACCCUAGUAGUCC